AGUUCUUUCUAUGGUUGAAGGCAGGGCCUUGUUUUUAUUUUGCUCUUCAGUUAAGCAUGCUAGCAUCACAUCACUGCACUGAUCUGCAGCAUUGGUGAGAACCUCAUUGCGCUGUCCUUCAACCAGUGCUGAAACUGCAGGAUCUUAAGUGCCUCGCAUAGGUCAAGGUUAUGGCACUCCAUGGGAUUAAUUUAAUUUUAAAAUUUUCAGCCAUCUAUAUUUAAUAUGAGCUAGGCAAAAUAGUGAGUCACUUUGUUUCAACAUUGUAAGGCCUCCAGAAUGUUGCCACUAACUAAGACUGCAGGGAAAUGCUAAUAUAUUUCAAAAUAAGGAAUUUUCUCUCAGCAGACCUGUUAAGUUAUAUCUUAAUAUUGUCUUGGGGUGGGCAUUAAUAACAAAGAUAAUUAAAUGUUAUUUUUUUAAAAAAAGAAAUUUAUGUGCUUAUACUAGUGUUUUUCAAGCUAUCCAGGAAUAUUUCCAUACAAACCUCUCUAACUCAAAACCCCCUGGAUAUCACUGUAUAUUGUAGAGGAGUUGGUGGGAUGUUAUGGAGCAGAUAUUUGGCCUUGCCUGAUGAGCCUCAAAUGACAUGAACAGAGAAUAAGCUAGUGUGAUCUGAGAGUGUACCCUAUGCCAAAUGUUGUUCAUGGCUGCAGAUUGCAGGGGGGAAAUUAGUAGUUACAAGUGAGUUGUAUGUCUGUCGUUACUGAUCUUCAGCCUACCUGAUAAGCUUCCAAGGAAUACCAGGAUUCCCUGAAACACCAUUGGAAGACCACUGGGUUAUACCUGUACAGAAGCUCAUUUUUGUGGAAGUUCUUAGCCAGCUUGGCCCCAUUACCACGCACAAGGGCUUGGAAGUACCCGAUCCUGCUGUGGCCUUAACAUUGUGAAUGGGAUCCUCCCCUAGCCCCUUGUGCUGUUUACUGGAGGAUGACUAGGAGAACAUCACCUACAGGAACGAAGGCUGCAGCAGAGUCUUUGGCCCUGGGUGACUCUUACAUGUACAUUGUAAUGAACACACAAUGGAGGAGAACUCCCAUGAUUAAUCUGCCCACUGGACUUCUUAAACAGGAUCCUAAAGAAGGAAUUGUAUGUCAAGUAUUACUUUUUCAAUUAAUGGAAAACUCCUCUUGUUAUUUUUCAAAUAAGGGCUUUACCUUUUUAUAUUCAAAUUUAUACUGGGUUUCUUUUUUAUUUGGAGUUCUCAGAGUAAAGGAAUACUCAGCGUUGUAGCUCCAAAUCCCAAGAAUCGGCGAGUAGCCAAUUUCUGUUUGUAUUCCAAAGUCAUAUGAAGAGUACACUCUGGCAACCCAGCCUGGAAGAGGCAAUAAUGUGAAUAUGACAGCUAGGCAACAUUUGGUUGGCGAUAUUACAGAAGAAGUGUAUAAGUGCCUCUGAAGAGGAAAUCAGCCGGACUUGACUGCAAGUAAGUGAGAUAUCAAUAAUGUUUCCUAAACCCUCCAGUUGCUGCUGUAUGGAAGUUUUUGUUUGUUUGUUUAAAUUUAUAUACCACUUAAUUGUAACAAAGCCAUCAAAAUGGUUUACAAAAUUGGGAUCCUAAAUCGUAUUUUUGUAUUUUUUUAACUCAGUAAGAGCAAAGGACAGUGAAUGGAAUAUUUCAAAAACAGCUGGCUAAUGCUAUAAGGAUUCCCUGUACUUCUAACAUUUUUUUUUUCUUUUUUCCUAACAUAUCAAAACAGUCAAAUCAAGGGAAACUUUUUUUGAGGCAAUCUUGUAAAAUACUGAUUGGGGAGAAUUAAUAGUGAAAGGGAAAAUUAUUUCUGAGGAUCUGGCUUGGAAAUGCAUUAUUUGUGGGGUAGGGGUGUCAGAGGAGAAUCUGGCAGGGAAAUUAAACUGCAAAAAAGAGAAGCUGUUUCCUGUAUGUUUGGGUGAUAAUUGUGUUUGACCGCUGCAACAAAAGUACACCAAAUUCAUCUUAGUCCAAUAGCAGCGAUCCAGAUACUUCUGAAAACUCGCAAGCAGCGCAGGAAGGUAUGCCAUUGCCAGAUACUACAAAUGUAUUUCAAUUCUUAAUGUGUUGGCUUGCUCUGCAAAAUCCUAGCAAUCUCUCUCUCAGGGGUGGGGAAUCUGUGAGACACCAGAGGUUGUUGGACUCCAACUCCAGUAUGGUCAGUGAUUAGGAAUUGGAGUCUAAGAACAUAUCAGUGGUGUCACAGAUUUCUGUUUGAAAACAAUAUUUCUGUUUGAAAACAACAACUGAUAUUGUGAUGCCCCUUAUGUUACCCACUUAUGAAAGACCAGUAAUACACAAUCCCCACUCUCUGUAACAGAUUAUGCCACCUUCACUUAGCCCUAUGAUUCUGCAUACAAUUCAGAUUUUAAUCUGAAUGAUAUGUUCCCUUUUAAUUGCAGGGAAGAAGCAAUCAAGGGCUGAAAACUAAACAUUGAUCAUUCAUAGCAUGAAACUGGCACUUAUAAGCAUAUUCUGCCUGAUUUGCCAUUAACUUGCUGCAGUGGUCUGCUUUUUCUGCAACUGUUGGCCUGUGAAUGGCCAUUGAGUUGUUCAGUUCCUGCACUUUGCUGGCCAGACAAGCCAUUGAUAAAAAGGGACGUUGUGGUUUUGAAUUGCAGACAGACCAAUCAAUCAGGGGACAAAGGAUGAAGGCAAGUUAUUAAAAUUCAAACUGCAUCUCAGCUUCCUGUAGAAUUUUAAAAAUUAUUAUUACAGCUAACUUCAUCAGCAGUCAGAAUAGACAUGAACUUGCUGACAACUGACAUUUAAAAAUUUCUUUUUGUGAUUUACUUCUUAUUUUUCUGUGUCAUUAUCUUUGCCUGAACACUGGGCCAAUAUGUGUGACAGGAGGUUAAAAGUCCCAUGUCCCUUCAUACUUUGUUGAAAUAAAGUUUAAAAUAAAUUAAAAUUCAUUAGAUUUUUGCAAAGCAUCAGAGCAGAUUUUUGGCAACACAAUGUUUUUAAAUUGCACAACCUGGGGAGAAUCUAAUAUAGACUUGUAUAAAAAGUUUGUGUGUUUGACCAAUGAUCAGGGGCAGAUAUCUUAUCUGGUUGCCACUAGCCUCCUAAAGUGGGAAGCGGCUGUGCUGGAUAAAAGACAUUAAGACAUUAAAUGUGUUUUCUGGAGUCUGUUUCUCCAUAGACCCACAGCUGAGGUCAAUGCAGAGCAGAAAUUUUCCAUCCCCUGGAGCAGCUUGCCAUGAACUUGAUUAUAUGACCAUAUAAUGGUGUAUCAGAUGUAUCUGUAGGUGUUGGAUUAAUAUGCAAAUACUGGAAGAUUAUUCGGUCCUAUUUGCAGAGCUUGCUCAUUUUACAGUGUUUUUUUAAAAGUCUUUUUAUUUUAACAGUUCACAGUUUAGAGGUGGGGAAACCGUAAAGGCUAUUCCAUCUCCCUUUUACAGGCUGAGGCCAGAAAAACACAGUAAAAUAUUAGAGACACAAAUGACAAAGGUAGGAAUGAAACCAUAAGCCAGUCUUCCCAUCACACUCUCAGGGUGCUCAUGAUUCUGGGUGGGGAGGUGGCAGAGGGAGAGGCUUCUCUUAGGAAAGGCAGCUGUUGACGGAUCCAGAUUUGGGGGCUGGGCAAAGUGCCUGGUGAGUUUACAGGGUGACAGGUGACAGUGGUAGUAUGGGCAUAUGGAGUAGCGCUGAAAGGAAAGUUGGGUGACUAGCAAGCGAAAGAGGGAGCCAACAUUUUCAUCUCUCCUCGUUGCUCUAAAUGUAGUGUCACAGUGGAUUAAUGGUGAAUUUAAGAGUGGUUUUCAAGCUCCAUUCCAGGCAACCCCUGGCAGGGUGAGACAUUAGGGCAUAGAUGCGAACUUCCUGGCUGCCCUGCUGCCCAAGCACCAACAAAAUUCUUCAUGAAGGGACUGGACACCUGCAAAUUUCAGUGUCAUACAUGCUGUAGGGCACCCACAGUCGCGGGGCCAAGUUGACACUCCUGCAUUAGUGUCCUCAGUCCUCAUCUGACAUGCUCAGUACUACACCACAGUGGUCUGUACGAGUUGUGUAUUCAUAGGUUCGACAUAGAUAUAUUUGGCUGAAUGGACAAAGGCUGGGAAUAGGGUUUGUCACCAUGAUCACAACCCUCUCCUCUGUGUAUCCUGCUCAUCAUCUAGACAAGGCUUGGAUCUUUAAUCAAGGACCACAUUUCCUCAUGGUCAACCAGGGGCCACAUGCCUGUGGUGGGUGGGGCCAGAGGCGAAAGGGGACGGGGCAAUGGGUAUGACUCCUAUAAUUGCAUGGUAGGUUAUAUAUUCCAGCCAAGCACAAGUUUCUGUAAACCCAAUUACAUUUUCCAAGAGGCAUCAUCACUGUUCAGUAACACAUUUCAGCCACACAGAAACACUCUGGGAAGGUUAUGGAGCAGGGCUGGCAUGGAAAGUGGGCAAGAGAGAAGGUACAGCCUAGGGAGAGUCCAAAGACCUGAUCAUAGCUGCCAAGUUAUCCCUUUUUUAAAGGGAUUUUCCCUUAUGCUGAAUAGGCUUCCUCGCGAGAAAAGGGAAAACUUGGCAGCUAUGGACCUGAUGCUCCCCACCCCUGGACAAGGGUAUUGGAACGGGAAUAAACAAAUCGCUUAGCUUCCUAUAAAGACAGCCUACUCUAAGCAGUCAAAAUGGUGGUCUUACCAAGUUUCAGCAGGGAGCUUCCAAACCGAACACACAAAUGCAAAGGCCUCACUCUUCUAUGUUUUGCAUAGGUGGACUAGGAGAGAGAUGUAGAGACAGGUUGAGGGCUGAGGCACAAAACUGGCUGCAUCCAUUGGAUUUGGCGGAGAGGCUCCAGGUGGAAAGAGGACUGUGGCCAACUUCCCAUGGACUUAAUAGUUGGUGGUGGAUGGUGGAAGUACAGUCAGCAGGAAGCAGACUUCUAAAAAUAAUCUUGAAAAGUUGGUAUAAGGGCUACCUGUUCUCCUGGGCAAACAUGAUGAAUAAUACAGUAGUUUCAUAUGAAAAUUCCUCGUGAUGGAGAAUCGUUGGCAGCCCCUCUUUAUAUAUGCUCACACCCCACCCCCACCAUCAGUUUUUGAGGAAGCCUUGCCUGAAAAGCUGACAACUCACAGAGAGACCUAUUAUAGCUUUAAUUACUUGAAGUCAACGCACAGGAGAGGAAGAUGUCGUCAUUUUAAGACUUUGCAUGUCUAAGUGCAUUGCCAGGAAGAAGUAGAAGAAGUGGAACGAAAAAGCUGCAAUGAUGAUUUAUACGUCUUGGCUUAAACUCAGAUUUCAUCAUGCGAAAGCCUGGACUAGAUGAAUCCCAAGCCGGAAUUAAGAUUGCCGGAAGAAAUAUCAACAACCUCAGAUAUGCAGAUGACACAACCUUGAUGGCAGAAAGUGAGGAGGAAUUAAAGAACCUUUUAAUGAGGGUGAAAAAGGAGAGCACAAAAUAUGGUCUGAAGCUCAACAUCAAAAAAACCAAGAUCAUGGCCACUGGUCCCAUCACCUCCUGGCAAAUAGAAGGGGAAGAAAUGGAGGCAGUGAGAGAUUUUACUUUCUUGGGCUCCUUGAUCACUGCAGAUGGUGAAAGCAGUCACGAAAUUAAAAGACGCCUGGUUUUCCCAGUAUGGAAGUGAGAGCUGGACCAUAAAGAAGGCUGAUCGCCGAAGAAUUGACGCUUUUGAAUUAUGGUGCUGGAGGAGACUCUUGAGAGUCCCAUGGACUGCAAGAAGAUCAAACCUAUCCAUUCUGAAGGAAAUCAGCCCCGAGCGCUCACUGGAAGGACAGAUCCUGAAGCUGAGGCUCCAAUACUUUGGCUACCUCAUGAGAAGAGAAGACUCCCUGGAAAAGACCCUGAUGUUGGGAAAGAUUGAGGGCACUAGGAGAAGGGGACGACAGAGGACGAGAUGGUUGGACAGUGUUCUCGAAGCUACGAACAUGAGUUUGACCAAAGUGCGGGAGGCAGUGCAAGACAGGAGUGCCUGGUGUGCUAUGGUCCAUGGGGUCACGAAGAGUCGGACACGACUAAACGACUAAACAACAAGAGACUGCUGGGAGCCAUUUGUGCAAAAUGUGAAUGCAUGUAAAUUCAUCGCUCCACGCUGCAGUCACAUUGGCUCAAAUCCUUGUCACUCCAUCAUGGUUCCUGGAAGCAAGGCUGUCUCUUCUGGUUCUGUGCACUGCACCUCCCACCGGUAUAGCUUUAUCCUGGAUUCAAGAAUGCUUCUGUGAUCCGCAGGGAGCUUCCGUUUCCUUCUGUGCUCCCUCAACCAACCAGCUAUUCAUUCUCUCCGAGAAGAUGAGGUUGGAUUCCAGACAUGUGCUUGGAUGAGGAAUCACAGAAGCAGCAAACAGCCUACAGCCAUAAAGACACCUAGCACAACCUCCUUCAUUUAUUCCAAGCAGAGAGAAGACUUGGCCAACAAAGCAAGUGAAGGAAUCACUCUACAGUACAACACAGGAGCUAUGGCAAAAUGAAAGUGAAACCGAGAAGUGAACAUUCCAAGCCAUACACAGAGAAGGGAGUGAUCACGACCCACAGUGUAACAAGGCAGAGCAUAUGCUCCAUUUGUUUUUAAGCAAUCAAUAACUCCUGAUAGCUUGGUUUUAUUGGAAGAAGAGAUUGCUGCCUGGUUAUGAGAAAAGACUGUUCUACAUUUUGUAAUCACUGACUCAGGCACAGCAGCAUCACCUGAUAUUGCUCAUCUGGCACAUGGUGUACCCUGUGUGCAAUUCCAAUUGCAGCACUCAAGAACGGUUUCCAGUAUAGCUAUGGAAAAUUGGAUAGACUUGUGGUCCAAAAGCAAGAGGAGCUGCUAACAAAUAGUGACAGUAAAGUUACUGAUGUCAUCAUUAGGUUUGUUUUGCAUCAGCAGUUAGGCCAGCCAGAGAAGUAUUUUCCAAACUUGUGAUAGUCAAAGCAUACCUCCUCACCACAAGGCAAGUAUACUUUCUUCCUUUUCUUUAUAUUGCCCUUCAUCAGUAGAUUUCAGGAUGGUUCGCAGCAUAAAAAUACAAUAUAAAAACUCAGCAUGUGUAAUAAAAACAAGAACAAAACAAACCAAUAACCCCCUACCCCUCCCACAAACACAUUUAAAAGGGUACUAUAGGAUGUUAAUCAGCCAAUGGCCUGGUUGAAGAGGGAUAUUUUUGCCUGGCGUCUGAAGGCGCCAGCCAAACCCUUUUACUCCUGAAAAGUUAUACAUUGAUAGUGUUCUGACCACUCCACAUCUCUGAGGGGUGAGGUCCAAAGGCACCGUGCUUCCAUGUAUGAAUCACUGUGCUUCUCAUGACUCCAGAUUGGAAGGCGACAAGUUCAGGGGAGGUGACUCUUGUAGCUUCCCUUAAGGGAAAGAGCAGUUACGGCAUACUGUAUCUGAGGGUGGGGAAUUAUGGAAUUGAACAUGAUGCAGACAUAUGGCUGAAUUACCCACUUUCCAGAUUCUUGGAAGUGGGGUAAGGGACAUCAGAGCAUUAAAUCCCGCAAAGAUGCAGCUUACAAGCUACUCUGGACCCAUUAGUUCAUUAUAUUUGUUUCUCAUGACAGAGACUUUGGGAAUUCCUGGACUGAAUACUUGCAGAUAUGAACAUAUUUUUACUGGUGUGUGCAUUCAUUUAGGGCUCCAUAAUACUGAGUGGUUUUAGUAGCUGCUCUUCGGGUUUCUCAGGAACAUAAACAUAACAUUUGCAGAGUUUUUAAGUAAUGCUUCCUGGGCAAGCAAUGUAUAAUGUUAUCUGAAACUUUCAGAAGCCGAAAAGCAUUCCUAUGGAUUGAUCUUCACCCAAGCUAGUUCCCUUGCUACCCAGCUGGGUUUGCUGCUGCAUAUGCACUCAUCUCUGAUGAGCGUGCCUGUAUGAUGUAGGUGUUUUCGAACACCGAUUUUUUUUUAUUCUUAAGGCUUGUGAAAAUCCCCAGUACACUUAACUUGAGAGUAAGGCCUCUCAACUUCUUGCAACAUAUUCCCCAAAAAAGGGACAGGUCCCAGUGUAGAAAGUUUAUCCAACUCCCCCCCCCCCAAAAAAGAAGAAAUUGUACCCAGAGGGAACUGCAGAGAUGGUGUUGGCAUUAUGCAACAGAAGUGGUUGUGGCACUCAAGUGCUUCCAUUCCACAAUGCAUGUAACGUUUGCUGGGGCUUUUAGCUGAGUAUUGAUGGCUUGCUGGGAAAGCUAAUAGGUUGAGCAAAGUUGUUUCCCCCCCCCUCAUUUGUGGUUCAAAAGUGGUGUUACACUAAUAAGCAGCAGCUGCAGGCAUACAUUCUAGGCUACUUUGGGCAUCUGCCAGGUAGCUUGCCUACCCUUUAGCAUCCUCUCACCAUCAGACAAAAAUAUCUGUUUCCCCAGCAAUUAAUUAUUCAGCAUGUUUAAUGUAUCCAGGGCGGGGCAAGUUACUAUUCUGAAAUCGGUACCUUCUUAUUAAGAUGUAGUUACAGAGAACAGGCUGCUGUUGCUUUAUCACCUCUCUUCCCCGCCCCUCU